CGGGAGGCAGCAGUAGGGAAUCUUCCGCAAUGGACGAAAGUCUGACGGAGCAACGCCGCGUGAGCGAAGAAGGCCUUCGGGUCGUAAAGCUCUGUUGUCAGGGAAGAACAAGUACCGGAGUAACUGCCGGUACCUUGACGGUACCUGACCAGAAAGCCACGGCUAACUACGUGCCAGCAGCCGCGGUAAUACGUAGGUGGCAAGCGUUGUCCGGAAUUAUUGGGCGUAAAGCGCGCGCAGGCGGUCCUUUAAGUCUGAUGUGAAAGCCCACGGCUCAACCGUGGAGGGUCAUUGGAAACUGGGGGACUUGAGUGCAGAAGAGGAGAGCGGAAUUCCACGUGUAGCGGUGAAAUGCGUAGAGAUGUGGAGGAACACCAGUGGCGAAGGCGGCUCUCUGGUCUGUAACUGACGCUGAGGCGCGAAAGCGUGGGGAGCGAACAGGAUUAGAUACCCUGGUAGUCCACGCCGUAAACGAUGAGUGCUAAGUGUUAGAGGGUUUCCGCCCUUUAGUGCUGCAGCAAACGCAUUAAGCACUCCGCCUGGGGAGUACGGCCGCAAGGCUGAAACUCAAAGGAAUUGACGGGGGCCCGCACAAGCGGUGGAGCAUGUGGUUUAAUUCGAAGCAACGCGAAGAACCUUACCAGGUCUUGACAUCCUCUGCCACUCCUGGAGACAGGACGUUCCCCUUCGGGGGACAGAG
rnacentral:rRNA from 2 species